rnacentral:rRNA from 1 species
GAUGAACGCUGGCGGCGUGCCUAAUACAUGCAAGUCGAGCGAACAGACGAGGAGCUUGCUCCUCUGACGUUAGCGGUGGACGGGUGAGUAACACGUGGAUAACCUACCUAUAAGACUGGGAUAACUUCGGGAAACCGGAGCUAAUACCGGAUAACAUGUUGAACCGCAUGGUUCAACAGUGAAAGACGGUCUUGCUGUCACUUAUAGAUGGAUCCGCGCCGCAUUAGCUAGUUGGUAAGGUAACGGCUUACCAAGGCAACGAUGCGUAGCCGACCUGAGAGGGUGAUCGGCCACACUGGAACUGAGACACGGUCCAGACUCCUACGGGCGGCAGCAGUAGGGAAUCUUCCGCAAUGGGCGAAAGCCUGACGGAGCAACGCCGCGUGAGUGAAGAAGGUCUUCGGAUCGUAAAACUCUGUUAUUAGGGAAGAACAAAUGUGUAAGUAACUAUGCACGUCUUGACGGUACCUAAUCAGAAAGCCACGGCUAACUACGUG